UAAAUAAAUACGUAAAACCGUCAACGGUCAAACUUACUUCAGGUUAGCGAAUGUUUAAUGGUAGUGUUAAUGAUGGACGUUUUCUACGGGCUCAGCGAACACUGUGAACGCGUGUAGUGUGUUGAACGCGAAAACAAUAAAUGGCCAAGACGGAUUCAACCCGUAACUCAAAAUGAAUAACGCGCUUGAACGGAACAAACUACAACAAUCAAAAUUCAGAGUAACAAACAACGUUUCCAGUAGAUAACAGGAAUACAGAAGCUUAGACAAGUAUGGCGUAUUGGCUCUUCUGACCGUCAACAAUGGCGGUGCACGAUGGCACAGCUGUCACUGCAGUGAUACCAAUCUUCA